GCAUUCUUAUCGUAAUUUCUGUCAUUCUAAAAGUAUACUUCUUUGUAUACAUUGCGAAAAGUUUAGGAUUUGUUACUCGAAGGUUUGGACAAUGGUUCAGUGUUUACUUUCGCUUAUUAACAAUGGAAUGGGGAAAUAAAGAAAAUCGUAUUGCAGUGAUUGCUUUACAUAAAUGUGGGAAAAGUGCAGGUGAAAUUCAUGAUCUUCUCAAAGAACUCAAUAUUUCGAGAAUGUUUGUUUACCGCACUAUUGAUCGUUUUUCCAAAACAUCUACAAUUGACGACAGAAAGAGAAGUGGACGUCCUCGUGCGGUUCGAACCGAUUCAGCCAUAAAAACUGUUCGCGAACGUAUUAACAGAGACCCCUGUACAAAACAGAUAGAUAUGUCAAAGGAAUUGGAUAUAUCGGCUAGGUCAAUGGCAAGACUUAUUCGAGAUGAUCUCCACAUCAAACCCUAUCGUCAGUCAACUGGGUCGAAAAAAUCAAAAUGAAAUUUUGUACAUCGUUCAUCUAAAAAACGGCCUAUACUUGUAACAGAACUUAUGACAGGACUAAAUAAAAAUUAAAAAUCAGUAAUGGUUACAUAUUUAUAUGGCAUUGUUGCUAAGUUUCUUUCUUUUAGUUUACUAGGCAAAGUAUAAAUAAAUAAAUUACAUUGAAAUAACUAA
rnacentral:lncRNA from 1 species